rnacentral:rRNA from 1 species
UGACCUCGGAUCAGGUAGGUCCG